rnacentral:lncRNA from 1 species
UUCAACUUCCUCACCUACCACCAGACAUCACCACCAUCCUAAUCCAACCACCACUAUCUCUCUCAUCGUUACAUCUUUGUAACAAGAAACCCACUUAUGACAACCCUUGGAUCAGAGACGGAUCUCGGCCGAGGUUCGUAGUUGUGGCCGGUGAACAUGACGUUGGUUUCAAUGGUAAUUGUAGUGGUGUUGUCGGUGGAGAAGGGGCGGUGGUGGCGACGGUGAUGCUCAGGGUGGUUGUGAUGACGGCUGCAAACACCAAUAGAGUUGCAGGUUGCAAGAACUACUGAGACGAUCUGGGCUGGGUAAACUAUAAAAGUUAACCGUCGAUUAUAAAAAAAAUGGGCUUCUUCCAAAACCUUCUCCCUUAGUGAUUUUCUCAAUAUGUUAAUUACAAUACUUCUCUUUUUCAUCUUCAGUUUUCACGUUUUUAAUUAUAUUAAUUUGUAUUUAUAAUUUGUUUUUGUGAAUAUUAUUGUCUCUAGCAGACUUGGGUAUAAAAUGAAACUAGUACCAAUCCCACUUUAAAGUGUUUUCUUUACUUGUGGUACCUUCUUUUGGUAUUUGGUUAUCUUCCUUUUUCUGAUAGUGAAUUUUAUGAUGAUUUUUUUUGUUUUCUGAUAGUGAAUUUAGUGAUGAUUUAUUAUAAUCAAAUAAAUUGUAGUACUCCCUCCGUCUCAUUAAAAGUGUGGAACUAG